UGAGCUCACCUUGUUUCUCCAGCCUCCAGAGACCUAAUGCUUCUGUUCCUGCGUCUAUUUUUAGUGCCUCUGGGUGAAUGUCAUUGCCGCUGGAGGCUGACAUUUCAUCCUCUGGGAACCUUGACCUGCCGCUUUUCCGGUUGUGAGUUAAACCUGCUGUUUCAUGCCCCAGAAGGAAAGAACAAUGAUCAUUAAUAAUCGGCGUCUUCUGGAAAAUCGGAAAUGAAGAGUCUUUGAUCCAAGGCUGCCCUUAACCCCAGCUGUGCUGCCUGCAGCGGCCACCGCCUCGCUGAUCUACUGAAGCUUCCAUAGCUCCCGAGGUCACCCCUGGGGCCACCAGCCAUGCCAAAGCAGGGAAGGUGGGCAGAGCUUGCUGGAGCUGACAGAGGGUGUCGGCCCCUCCGAACCGCCCAAGACAAACAGGGCGGCAGGAAGUUCCCACGCUCCCAGGGCUGGUGCCUGGAGCCACUGCAGUCACCUGCAGCACUGGGGCUGUGAGGAAGGCAGAGCCUGAGCCACCUACAGGUGUGGGGGGCUGGGGAAGUCAUCUUUCCAGAGUGGGGAGCUUCUUCCAGACGUCGGCCAGCCCACUCCCCUAAGCAAUGCGUAUCUGACCCUCUACCUUCAUUCCCACUUGGGUGGCUUGUGGGUGCUGCGUACCUGGCACGCUCCCCAUGGGCUAUGGGUUUCAGCCUCCUGGCCCCCUGCCCUUGACUUUGCCUUAUCUGCUCAGCAAAUGCACCACUGUCUACCCAGGGCCUCAGGCCAGACCCUCCUGGCACACUGCCCACGCCGAGACGCUCACCCUUGCUUCUCCCUUCUUUGGUAUCUGUCGAUUUCAUCUCACCACCGCUGUCCUAGAGAGACUGACAUCACCAUUUCUUGGAGACCUCGGUACUCUCCUUGCCUGUACUUACCAUCCAAUCAGAACUUCCCUGGAUGCACGUCUUCCUGGCUCUGGGCACGUCAGCCUCAUGGUGUUCCUUCCAGUACUUCCAACAACCCGGAUGCUUUACAGCCCCAGGGCCUUUGCACUUGCCGUUCUCUCUGCCUAGAAUGCCCUUUGCUCCGUUUCUUCCAUUGCUGGCUCCUUCUCAUCCUUCAGGCCUCAUCUUAAAGGGUUCCUCCUCAGAGGGCCUCCCUACCACUUGACCUAAGUGAGUCAAAUGAGGAAAACAUUGAACGUACAGGAAAAUCCCUGUACUCUUAUGACGCUCAAUAAGGCAUUUCUAGCCACCAAACCUGUGGGUUUCCCCCCACACCAAGCAAUUCUCAGAUUUUCCAGAUACCAGCUGGCAGUCCUACAAUUUAAUUCAAUUCUGACACUGUCUCCCUGGAGUUAGCCCAGACCCCACGGGUGAAGGGCUCAGUCCCACACGAGUGCCCUCACUUCAGACACCAAUUGCAAGUUCAGGUUAUCACCUGUGCUUCUGACCACUGGCUAUAAAUCAGAGGUUCCCACGACCCCUCCCUGGGGUUUGAGAAUUGCUAGAACUGCUCAGCAGAACUCAGGAAAAACAGUUUAGCUACUAGAUUACUGGUUUACUGAAAAGCAGUGGUUCUCA